rnacentral:lncRNA from 1 species
AUUACUAUCCUCCAUGUCCUCAACCAGAACUAACAAUGGGAACCACCAAUCACAAAGACAGUAACAUCAUUACCAUUCUUCUGCAAGAUCAAAUGGGUGGCCUCCAAGUUCUUCAUCACAAUCAUUGGAUUGAUGUCCCUUGCAUACCUGGAGCUUUGGUAGUAAAUGUUGGAGAUCUUCUACAGCUUAUAUCAAACGACAAGGUCAAAAGCGUGAAUCACAGGGUGUUGGCGAAACGAGCAUGGCCUAGAAUAUCAGUGGCAUGUUUUCUGAGAAUGCAAGCGAAUAACAAAGGAAAUGAAUCGAGACUUUAUGGACCAAUCAAGGAACUGUUGUCUGAAAACAAUCCUCCAAUCUACAGAGAAAUCUUGAUCAAGGACUAUUUGUCACAACAUUACUCAAAAGGGCUCAGCGGUAGCGAUUCACUUUCACAUUUCAAGCUGUCUGAAAAUUAGUCUACGUAAGAUCAUUGCAGGCAAAACUUAUGAGUUGCAGAAGAGAUAGUAGUUCUUAAUUACUUUUUGAAUAAUUUAAAUUUGUAUACAUAUAUGAUGAACAAGUUAAGCACAAGUAUGUUCUGCCUUUGUCCCUGUCCGUACAUUGCUCUGUUUUUAAUCUUUAUGAAGAAAAAAUAGUGGAUAGUGAAGAGUAUGGGACCAAGCAGCUAUCACUGGUAUCAUCGUUUUCGACGUGGCUGAUUAAUAAACAAAUUUCCAUCCUUUUCUGAAUCGUUUUUUUCGAAAUUGAAUAAAAGGAAUUGAUUAAUUAUAAAAAUAUUCAGGUGUAAAAUCUUAUAUAAGAAUGAUCUAUUUUAUACAGUGAUUAUUAAUGCUGCUAACUUGACCGGCAGUAUCAUCCCUCAUCAUUACCCAAUGAUUAUAUAUUUUAAAAAAAAUAAUUAUUUUUGUGCCGUUACUGUGUCUAAUGACACCAGUAUGUAUUUUCUCAAAUACCCUUUAAAAAUAUGAGUAACUAGGGAGGAAAAAAUUAAUAUUUUAAUAGGUGUCGUUUUCUUCUUUAGCGGCAGCAGAGAAAUUUUAUUUUUAAAAGUGUCAAAUAAAAAGUCAAUAUACUUUUCGAUGCCGCCAUUCUUCUUGGUGGCACUGAUGUCUUUUCUAAAAAAAUAAAUUUUUAUGUCGUUGAUCUAUUAGGUAACCCUGUUAAAAUUUUUUAAAAACUCAAUAAUAUGAACAUUAAAAAUUCUGACAAAACUCAUUGAAAAAUUUCAUUGCAUCGCUAAAGAAGUGAGUAGUAAAACAAGACAAAACCCACAAAAAAUAAACAUGGAAAAGAAAUAUAUACCUAGAAAAGUUUUUUUGCAAGAGUAGAGUAAUGAAGCGAAAACUUUGAAAUCUUCACUCUUUAAGAAAAUAUAUUGAGAAUGAAAAUUUAAGAAAAAUUGAAAGUUUGUUUCAAAAUAAAACUUCUUUUUGAAUAUUUCAGCAACAUAUAAAGUUGAACCCAAUUUUAUUAUAAAAAUAAUUAUUAGUUCUAUUCAAUGUCUUGUAAGUUGAACACAUUUAAAAUACUUUAACUUUUAAUCUGUGUGUAGAUUCUCAAUAUUGAGAAUUAAAAUAUUGUCUCAAGAAUCUACAUUGAAUAGAACUAUAAAGGAUACAAGAGAUCAAUGUUAUGAAAAUGCAAUGUGGUUUUCACGGGGAGGAUCUUUGGGAGCAACCAUUAAAGGAGGAGAGUGAACAGAUUGCCCAUGUUUAUUUUAAGGACAUGCUGGUUGGGUUCAAAAGAUUGAUAGGGCAGGUGGUGCAGGACAAGGAUGAGGAUGAUGUUUAGUUGCUUGAGGGGGACAUGAUUGUUGGAAUAGAGGACAACAUGUCGACGAUUAUAUUUUCUGGUCGUGUUCACUAGAUUUUGUAUAAGAGCAUGUCAAAAACGAUCAUGGAUUUAUAGAAUGAUUAUUAUUUGGUUAAGCCAUAGGAGGUUAUGUUUGAACUUUUACUGAAGGUCCGUGGAUAGUGUUUGGUCAUUAUCUCACGGUGCAACCUUGGUCUGAAUAUUUUUCCAUGAGUUAACCAUUCUCAUCUAGUGUCGUCGUAUGGAUUCGAUCCCCAGGUGUUUUGGGCUUUAUGUAUAGAAGAAGUGUAAUUAAGUUGAUUGGGGAAAUAGUUUGCGGGGCAAGUUUGUUCGUUUGGAAUUUAUGGUUAACCUGAAUAAACCAUUACUAUCUAGGAUUAAAGUAGAUGGUCAAGUGUAAAGGGUGGAGUAUGAAUCUCUUCCUAACACAUGCUUUGUGUAUGGUCACUAUGGUCAUAUGAAAAAGCUGUGUCCGGCUUUUUAUUUUCAGGAGAAGCAAGGAGGUGAUGAUGUUGUAUUGCAUUCGGUUACACUCUCAGUGGACUUAAGGUUAAUCAUGAAAGAAUCGAAGAGUAUGGUCCUUGGAUGGUAGUUGAUCUGUGUUCAAGGAGAGCUGAUCGGAGUAAGGGCUCUGACAAGGAUGACAAGGUAAGUGCAAAUCUUUAGGGAUCCCGAUUAAUGCUCUGCAAGAUUUAAGGGAAAAUGAAUUAGGGAAUGUGCAGAUUUCUAAGUGUGGAAUUAUUGCUAAAUCUAAGGGAAAAGGUUUGGCCAUUUAUGAUAAUCCAUUGGGGUCGGUGAUUCAAUUAUGGAUCGUGACAAUGGGAAGGGAUUUGGGUCGUGUUGAUUUGUUAAGGCCUCUGAGAUUGUCAACAGGAAAGGCUGUGUCUUUGGGGACUCGUCUAAUAGGUCUAGCGGGUCCACUAUUAAUUCUACUAUUAAUAAGGGAAUGGGCCAGAUUGGGAAUGAUAUGUUUUCUUUGGUUAAUUUAGGGGUUAAUGCCCAACUUGAAGAUAAGUGAACUUCGUUGCAAGAUAACACUUCAUGACAAAUUGAAUUGACGACGAUUGGGGGUAGAGGUGUGUAUGGGCCAGGCCACCCGGCCCGACCCGAAGGCCCGCCUGAAAUGUGGGAGGGUUUGGGCAAAAAUAUAGGCCCGAAAAAUAGGCUUAGGCAAAAAAAUUAAGGCCCGUUUAAAAAACGAGCUGAGCCUCGGGUAAGGCAUUUUUUACUCGGGCCAUGCUCGAAUUCACUAAAUAACAAAAAAAAUUAUAUUUUAAAAAAUUAUUUUCUUAUUAUUUUCUCCCUAUUUUGCUACUAUUUUACUAUUAUGUUGCUACUAUUUUGUUGUUAUUGUUUGGAUAUUGUAUAAAACUUAUUUUAUUGUUAAUUUUUUUAUUAUUUUAAAGAUAUUUGUUAAUUUUAUUAUUAUUUUAUAGGCAUUUGCUUGUUAAGUUGUAUCUAUUUUAGUGUUAUUUAAGUAUACAUAUUUUUAAAUUUUAUUUUCAAUUUGUUGAGAAAUAUUUAUUUUGAUAUUUUUACUAUUUUUGAUGGUUUAUAUAUAUAUUUUAAAAUUAUAUAAAAAUAAUAUAAAAAUUAAUAUAGGCGGGCUAAGUCGAGUUUGGGUUUUAACAUUUUUAUUCGGGCCAAGCUUGGGCAAAAUUUAUGCCUAUUUUUCGGGCGCGACGGGCCUGGGCCUAGCAAACAGGUCUAAAUUUUUAGUUGGGCUCGACCCGAACCCGGCCCGGCCUAGCCCAUGCACACCUCUAAUUGGGGGGUCUAGUUCGUUGGUGGAAAAAAUCAUGAGGACCACGCUUAAUGUGGAUAAUCAUUCUGUGAAAAAAAUGUGAUUGUUAUAACUAUUAAAAAAAUAUUUUUUAAAAAAGGGUGGCCGAAGAAGUUGUUAUUACAACUAUUAAAAAAGAUUUUUUUAAAAUGUAUACAACUUUUUCAAUAAAGGGCGGCUAUUACAACUUUAUUUCAUUCAACUUUUUCAAUAAACGGUGGCUGUUAAAUCUUUAUUUUAAGGGUAAAGUGUCUUAAUUACAACUAAAAGAAAAUAUUUUAAAUUUAUUUAUUUUUUCUAAACCUCUGUUCAUCAAUCAAUUCAACGGACAUUUUAUUUAGAAACUUUUUAAUAAUCACAGUUUUCCUUAUAAUAAUCACUUUUUUUAAAAAAUUAAAUUGAUCAUUUAUCAACUUUAUUAUAGAGGAAGGGAUGUUGUUGGAGAAGAAAGAGAAAAAAAAGGAAAGAGCUUUAUUAUGAGAUUUUAGUAACGGUGAUGAUGUUUCUUCUUCUUUGUCUCACGCUUAUAAAAGUGUAUUUCUUUUUGCUACACUAGACUAGAGAAUGGAUGACAAAAUUAUUUGUUUUUUUAAAAAAUUUGGUGCCACAUGAUAGAACGACAACGCACAAUUUUUUUAAAAAUUUAUUUAGUGCAGCCAUAGAAGCUGGCCACCCAUUAAAAAAUAUAUUUUAAAAAAUCUCUAGUGUCGCCAAAGAGGUCGGUGACACCAAUUAAUUUCUUUUUCUUUUUUUUUCUCCUAAAUAUUCGUAUUUUUUAUGGGUAUGUAGAAAAAAUACAUACCGGUGCCACUGGAUAUAAUGGUAGCACCCAAAAAUAUAUAUUUUUUUAAAAGAAUGAUAAUUGCCUGAUGAUGAGGGGGUGAUGUCACCAAUGGGUAUAACGACAUCAGCGUGCACAGUAGAAAACAAAUCAUUCUCGUACAAUUUUUGGUGUUGAGUUAUUUUCAUAAUUAAUUAUUUUAUUUAGGUCAAUUUAAAUAAAAAAAUUAAAUAAACCUCAAAACUCAAAAUCAAAACAAAUUUUUUUAAAAUUUUAAAAAUCGAAUUUAGGGAUGAGAUGGAAGAAAUUAGUUUAUCAUUAAAAAUUUUGUUGGGUUAGUAUCAAGUUUAAAAAAAAUUAUCUUACUCUGUUAUGAUAUAUUUACAAAAUACAUCUCUUUUAAUUUUAUAACUAUUUUCCUGUUUUUAAUUAUAAUUCCAUAAUUUUAUAAUAUGACUAACAUAUAUUGUAAUUUUAUAAAUAUUAUUAAUUUUUAAGGUUUUAUAAUGCAUGGUUUAAUUUUGUAAAAUUUAAUAGAUUAUAAUUUCGGAGCAUGGGACCAAGCAGCUAUCAUCAGUCUUAUCGUUUUCGACGUGGCUGAUUACCAUCCGCAUUACUGAUAAACAAAUUUCCAUGCUUUCUAACCUCAUUUGUCAUUCUCAGAAAAUUUCAAAUGCUUUUGUUACAUUAAAACGGAAGGAACAAAACACAGUUAAAAAAUGGUGGUCACCAGUGGAGCUGACGUUCAUGAUGAUUCCAACAACUACGACAAAGAAAAGGAACUGAAAGCAUUCGACAAUUCAAAAGCCGGUGUCAAAGGUCUGGUAGAUGCUGGAAUCACUAAGGUUCCUCGUAUGUUCAUCCGUUCAGACAUUUCAUCGAACACUUUAGAGACAACCAAGAAAACCCAAUACAAUAUUCCAGUUAUUGAUCUACAAGGGAUCGAAGAUGAUCCACGGCGGCAUAAAGAGAUCAGUGACGAAGUCAGGCAUGCAUCAGAGACAUGGGGCUUCUUCCAGAUUGUCAACCAUGGGAUACCUGUAAGUGUUCUUGAAGAUCAUAUUGGUGGUCUCCAAGUACUUCAUGAAGACAAAUGGAUUGAUGUGCCUUGUUCUCCUGGGGCUCUAGUGAUUAACAUCGGUGAUCUUUUACACGUUAAUCCGUUGUCACUCCCGACUCUUUAUUUUCCUUAAAGCACUCAUGUCUAAAACUUAUGUCUUGAAUGCUAGUGAAUAUUUGGGAAAUUUCAACUUAUUUUUUCAGCUUAUUUCGAACGAUGCUUUCGUAAGCGUGGAGCACAGAGUGCUGGCAAACUCGGUCGGACCGAGAGUUUCAGUUUCAGAACUUCGGACCCCAGACUGUACGGUCCUAUCAAGGAACUGUUAUCAGAAGAGAAUCCACCAAAAUACAGGGAAACCACAGUGAGAGAUUAUGCUAUGUACUCCAAUGGAAGAGGGCUUGAUGUUGAUGAUACUUCUCCCUUGCUGCAUUUCAGGUUAUGAUCCCAUGAUAUGAAAUAUGAGCUUUAAGAACUGAAUAAUUUGGUAGAUUUCUUAUGAUUGAAUUGUGUAUUUGGCAUAUCUAGUUUCCUCCAUGUAAUGAAUGUGAUCAUAAUCAAUCAAGAUAAAUAUCGAUAUCGCUUUAUAAUUACUAUUUAAACCUACGAGUUGUUAUUGUAUUAGAUAUAAAUACUAUGAUAUCCUUAAAAUAAAAUAUAUUGGUAUGAUCCAUCAAUCAGGUUCCAACUCAAUUAAGAAAUUAACAAAAAAUUUUAUUUUUUUUACGAAGUAAAAUUAUAUUAUUAUGAACCAAGAACACUAUUAAUAUUGAAUCUUCAAUGUUACAAUUUUAACCAAAGUAUCAUUUAAUUUCUAUAUAAACUUUUAAUACAUUUAUAUAAAUUUUAAAUUAAUCGAGUUGAUAAAUCUUAUUUAAUUUAUUAACUGAAUUUGAUUUAAAUAUUAAAAUCGAAUCAAGUGAAAAUAAAUUUAAAUAAAACUAAAUAAAAAAUUAUUUAAAUUAAUCAAAUUUUCAAAUCAUAUUUUAUCGAUCUCAUUUGAUUUGAAUUUUUAAAUCCAAGUCUUUUGGUUGUAAUAGUUAGAAUUUUUUUGGUCUAGAUAAUGGCAUGUUUGUGGCCAAGUCAACGACGGCUUUGUGGAAAGGUUGCUUCCUUCAUGUCCUAUUAGUAACAUAGACUUUAGUUUGAUCCAAAAUUGCCUUAUUACACUAACAAUUUCAUUCAAAAAUCAACACCAUGGGCUCUUCCGGUGAAUUUCGGGUAGAUUCUAACCCGGACUACGAUCACGAAAGUGAAGUAAAGGCUUUUGAUGAUACAAAAGCCGGUGUGAAGGGAAUAGUAGAUUCAGGUGUCACACAAAUCCCUCGUAUAUUCAUAGAUCAAAGCCUUAUCCUUGAGAAGAAUAACACCGAUUGUUCCAAUAAUCAGCUUGGUGUCCCGAUCAUAGACCUCCAAGGCAUCGGUGGAGACUCGGCUCGCCAUGCCGAGGUGAUUAACCAAGUUCGAAAUGCUUGUGCGGAUUGGGGUUUCUUUCAGGUAGUUCACCAUGGGAUUCCUGCAAGCGUUUUGGAUGAAAUGAUUGAUGGGAUCCGUCGGUUUCAUGAACAAGACACCGAGGUGAAGAAACAGUUCUAUACACGCGAUGCAACUCGCAAGGUGUUGUAUCUAAGCAACUAUGACUUGUAUAAAUCGAAAGCUGCUAAUUGGAGGGACAGUUUGGGUUGUAUCAUGUCUCCUGAUGAUCCAGCUCACCCUGCAGAGUUGCCUCAAGUUUGCAGGUACGUGUUAGUACUAGGCUAUGUUACUCGAAUUCAGUUGUCAGUUGUAUCGUAUAGGUGACAUGUAUUGAGUUUUGUUGCAGAGACAUAGUGAUGGAUUACUCCAAGCAAGUAUUGACAUUGGGGUUCACACUGUUUGAACUGCUGUCUGAGGCUCUUGGGCUCAACCCUGGUUGCCUUAAUGAUUUGGGCUGCGCCGACUUACUGUUUGUAAUGGGACAUUACUAUCCUCCAUGUCCUCAACCAGAACUAACAAUGGGAACCACCAAUCACAAAGACAGUAACAUCAUUACCAUUCUUCUGCAAGAUCAAAUGGGUGGCCUCCAAGUUCUUCAUCACAAUCAUUGGAUUGAUGUCCCUUGCAUACCUGGAGCUUUGAUAGUAAAUGUUGGAGAUCUUCUACAGCUUAUAUCAAACGACAAGUUCAAAAGCGUGAAUCACAGGGUGUUGGCGAAACGAGCAGGGCCUAGAAUAUCAGUGGCAUGUUUUCUGAGAAUGCAAGCGAAUAACAAAGG